rnacentral:rRNA from 1 species
UACGUAGGGGGCAAGCGUUGUCCGGAAUCAUUGGGCGUAAAGAGCGUGUAGGCGGUCCGAUAAGUCCGCUCUGAAAGCCCGGGGCUCAACCCCGGGAGGCGGGCGGAUACUGUCGGGCUAGAGUCCGGAAGAGGCAAGUGGAAUUCCUGGUGUAGCGGUGAAAUGCGUAGAUAUCAGGAGGAACACCGGUGGCGAAGGCGGGUCUCUGGGCAGUAACUGACGCUGAGGCGCGAAAGCCAGGGGAGCAAACGGG